GACGACAACAAGGCUGUUGAUGUGAAGCGUUUUUCUCACUGGGCUGCUCAUAAUUACGAGCUGUACGAUGUUGCCUGAACGCAGCUUGAUCCACUUCCUGUUUAAUGCGCGUUGGCACUGUCUGCAUUGGUAAGCCCAGGUUGAUGUCCCCUGCAAACAAGGUGAUCAGCAGUAUGAUGGUGAACCCGGUGAGCAGCCCUGCGUUCUGGAUCAGGAAGAAGAUGAUCUUGGUGGAAGUCCGCUCCUGUUCCCGUGCUAUGCUGUCCAUCUCUGGAAACUGAGAUGAAGAAUGACAUUCAGAUAUCUGUCUCAUGCACAAUCCUCUAACAGACAAAAUACAAUGGCCUUAUUGUUCAACAGUCAACAAUAAUAGGAAGUGAUAGUAUACAAACAUGAAGUGUGAAUCAGCUGGUUUGUGUGAGCUACAAUUAUCAUGUUGUUCUCAUGCAGUAUAACUGGAGAAAAGACCACAAGUCAAGAGUUGAUUAACAAGUUAGGAACAAAAACAAUUUUCUCCUCCAUAAAAUUAAGUUUAUUUUUUAGGAUAUUUAUCUUUACAAUACUGGAUACUAUACUGGAUAGUUUUACCUCUUCAGGCCUCUAAUUAACCAAACUGAGAAGGUAAAAAAUAACUCUUUGCUUGCUUGAAGUGCUCACAGCUUAUAGAAAUAUAUAAACUUUGAUGAGG